rnacentral:rRNA from 1 species
AGAGUUUGAUCCUGGCUCAGAGUGAACGCUGGCGGCGUGGAUUAGGCAUGCAAGUCGAGCGAUCCUCGCUUGAAACUUAUUGAAGUGCUUGCACGGAUAUAAGUGGAUAGCGCUGGAUAGCGGCAAACGGGUGAGUAACACGUGAGCAACUUUCCCUUAAGACGGGCAUAGCAUCGUGAAAACGGUGGUAAUUCCCGAUGUGAUUAUGGGAUCGCAUGGUCUUAUAAUUAAAGGCGGGGACCGCAAGGCCUGCCGCUUAGGGAUGGGCUCGCGGCCUAUCAGCUUGUUGGUAGGGUAACGGCCUACCAAGGCAUGUGACGGGUAGCUGGUCUGAGAGGAUGGUCAGUCACACUGGGACUGAGACACUGCCCAGACUCCUACGGGAGGCUGCAGUCGAGAAUCUUUAGCAAUGGACGAAAGUCUGACUAUGCGACGCCGCGUGCAGGAUGAAGGCCUUCGGGUUGUAAACUGCUUUUGUCAGGGAAGAAUACCCCGCCACGAAUACUGGCGGGAUUGACGGUACCUGACGAAUAAGCCACGGCCAACUCCGUGCCAGCAGCCGCGGUAAUACGGAGGUGGCGAGCGUUACUCGGAAUCACUGGGUGUAAAGGGCAAGUAGGCGGCCUAUUAAGUGAGGGGUGAAAUCUUC